GUUUGUGUUUGUUAGUUCAAGCAUCUUUAAUGAGAUGAGGAGUACUUUGCAGCCACGCUGCGUAAUUUUCUAAAUUAUCACAGGUUAAUUUAUUCCUGAAUCACCCAGGAGUUCUGGACAAAGAAAUGCCUUCAGAAGCAAGUAACAUCAGGCACCUUCUAGAGAAGAGUACAUGGAGGGACCAAGUGGGAGCUUCUUCCCAUCUUUUUUUUCUCUAGGGCCUUCAACUUUCAAUUCAAUCCCUUCCCUGCCUUAGUUCGUAGAAGCUUCUUUCGAAGUCUUCUCUCCAUGCUCAACUCUUGUUUCAUCCAUCACAGUCUAUUUAGCACAGAGCAACCAAGUUUCUAAGAUACCAUUUAGCAUACAGUGCACAUAUUACUCCUUCUAAAGCAUACCAGUAGAAUUGAGCAUCAACCCUCUUUAGGACUUGGCAGUCUAGAUGACUGAUGAAAAAACCAAAUAGCCAAUCAUUUCUAUGGAAUCAGAGCUCCUAAGACUACAGGAAAUUCAUUUACUAUCUCUCUUAAGAUGAAAAGUAAAUCCUGCUCCAUUGUAUCUCCCUUGUCCAGCACAAGCCUAGCAGGUAGAAAGCCCUCAAGAAAUAUUUGCUGAUUGAUAAAGAA